rnacentral:rRNA from 1 species
ACGGGAGGCAGCAGUGGGGAAUAUUGCACAAUGGGGGAAACCCUGAUGCAGCGACGCCGCGUGAGCGAAGAAGUAUUUCGGUAUGUAAAGCUCUAUCAGCAGGGAAGAAAAUGACGGUACCUGACUAAGAAGCCCCGGCUAACUACGUGCCAGCAGCCGCGGUAAUACGUAGGGGGCAAGCGUUAUCCGGAUUUACUGGGUGUAAAGGGAGCGCAGGCGGUCUUGCAAGUCUGAUGUGAAAGCCCGGGGCUCAACCCCGGGACUGCAUUGGAAACUGUGAGACUAGAGUGUCGGAGGGGCAAGUGGAAUUCCUAGUGUAGCGGUGAAAUGCGUAGAUAUUAGGAGGAACACCAGUGGCGAAGGCGGCUUGCUGGACGACAACUGACGCUGAGGCGCGAAAGCGUGGGGAGCAAACAGGAUUAGAUACCCUGGUA